GACGAACGCUGGCGGCGUGCCUAAUACAUGCAAGUCGAACGAACUCUGGUAUUGAUUGGUGCUUGCAUCAUGAUUUACAUUUGAGUGAGUGGCGAACUGGUGAGUAACACGUGGGAAACCUGCCCAGAAGCGGGGGAUAACACCUGGAAACAGAUGCUAAUACCGCAUAACAACUUGGACCGCAUGGUCCGAGUUUGAAAGAUGGCUUCGGCUAUCACUUUUGGAUGGUCCCGCGGCGUAUUAGCUAGAUGGUGGGGUAACGGCUCACCAUGGCAAUGAUACGUAGCCGACCUGAGAGGGUAAUCGGCCACAUUGGGACUGAGACACGGCCCAAACUCCUACGGGAGGCAGCAGUAGGGAAUCUUCCACAAUGGACGAAAGUCUGAUGGAGCAACGCCGCGUGAGUGAAGAAGGGUUUCGGCUCGUAAAACUCUGUUGUUAAAGAAGAACAUAUCUGAGAGUAACUGUUCAGGUAUUGACGGUAUUUAACCAGAAAGCCACGGCUAACUACGUGCCAGCAGCCGCGGUAAUACGUAGGUGGCAAGCGUUGUCCGGAUUUAUUGGGCGUAAAGCGAGCGCAGGCGGUUUUUUAAGUCUGAUGUGAAAGCCUUCGGCUCAACCGAAGAAGUGCAUCGGAAACUGGGAAACUUGAGUGCAGAAGAGGACAGUGGAACUCCAUGUGUAGCGGUGAAAUGCGUAGAUAUAUGGAAGAACACCAGUGGCGAAGGCGGCUGUCUGGUCUGUAACUGACGCUGAGGCUCGAAAGUAUGGGUAGCAAACAGGAUUAGAUACCCUGGUAGUCCAUACCGUAAACGAUGAAUGCUAAGUGUUGGAGGGUUUCCGCCCUUCAGUGCUGCAGCUAACGCAUUAAGCAUUCCGCCUGGGGAGUACGGCCGCAAGGCUGAAACUCAAAGGAAUUGACGGGGGCCCGCACAAGCGGUGGAGCAUGUGGUUUAAUUCGAAGCUACGCGAAGAACCUUACCAGGUCUUGACAUACUAUGCAAAUCUAAGAGAUUAGACGUUCCCUUCGGGGACAUGGAUACAGGUGGUGCAUGGUUGUCGUCAGCUCGUGUCGUGAGAUGUUGGGUUAAGUCCCGCAACGAGCGCAACCCUUAUUAUCAGUUGCCAGCAUUAAGUUGGGCACUCUGGUGAGACUGCCGGUGACAAACCGGAGGAAGGUGGGGAUGACGUCAAAUCAUCAUGCCCCUUAUGACCUGGGCUACACACGUGCUACAAUGGAUGGUACAACGAGUUGCGAACUCGCGAGAGUAAGCUAAUCUCUUAAAGCCAUUCUCAGUUCGGAUUGUAGGCUGCAACUCGCCUACAUGAAGUCGGAAUCGCUAGUAAUCGCGGAUCAGCAUGCCGCGGUGAAUACGUUCCCGGGCCCUGUACACACCGCCCGUCACACCAUGAGAGUUUGUAACACCCAAAGUCGGUGGGGUAACCUUUUAGGAACCAGCCGCCUAAGGUGGGACAGAUGAUUAGGGUGAAGUCGUAACAAGGUAGCCGUAG
rnacentral:rRNA from 1 species